GACGCACGCUGGCGGCGUGCCUAAUACAUGCAAGUCGAACGCAGUGGGGCCGGGUGAGUAACACGUGGGUAACCUUCCCUCAGAGGGGAUAACAAUUGGAAACAGGUGCUAAACCGAUACUGAUGUAUGGACCCGCGGUCCAUUAGCUAGUUGGUGAGGUAACGGCUCACCAAGGCCACGAUGCAUAGCCUACCUGAGAGGGGGAUCGGCCAAACUUGGACGGAGACACGUCCCAGACUCCUACGCGGUGCAGCAGUAGGGAAUCUUCGGCAAGGGACGAAAGUCUGACCGAGCAACGCCGCUUGAGUGAAGAAGGUUUGCGGAUCGUAAAACUCUGUUGUUAGAGAAGCGGUAUCUAACCAGAAAGCCACGGCAAACUACGUGCCAGCAGCCGCGGUAAUAC
rnacentral:rRNA from 1 species